ACUGGGCACAGUGGCACCUGCCCAUAGUAUUAGCUACUUGGGAGGCCGGGGUGGGAGGAUCGCUUGGGCCCAGGAGUUUUGGGCUGUAGUAAGCUAUGCCUAUCAAGUGCACACACAAGUUUGGCAUCAUUAUGGUGACCUCCCAGGAGCAGGGGACCACCAGGUUGCCUAUGGAGGGGUGAACUGGCCCAGGUAAGAAAUUGAGCAGGUCAAAACUCCGUGAUGAUCAGUAGUGGGAUCGUGCCUGUGAAUAGCCACUGCACUUCAGUCUGGACAACAUAUCGAGACCCCGUUUCU
rnacentral:SRP_RNA from 1 species